CAUUAAAAAAUUAAAAAAAAAAAGUCAGCCUGCUUCCAUCGAAGAAGGACGAGAACACCCCGAGCCGGUCUCAAGGAAACGAAGCUGAGCAACUCGGGUAGAAUUCCUCCGAAGCAGAUCCAGGCUCGGCCUCGCCCACCUCCGUACUGCUCGUCCUGCUUUCCCCCCUGCGCCUACCUGGUCCCGAGGCUACCUCCCCGGCGUUCUGGAAAGGUCACGCUGAGUCCCGCGGGACAGAACACAGGGCUGAAAGCGCCCGGCCCGCCUUGCAGCGAAGCUUCGGCCCGACGGCAACCACUGCCUCCAGGGAACAGCCGGCUCUAGGCCCUCGAAGGGAGCUGCCUGCAACCUGGGCACCCCCACAACUAUGGCUUAUUUGAAUUUGUUCCAUCCGCGGUCACAAAGCCCACACUCAUGCGUAGAACUCGUUAAUCCUCAGGUUUUGUGACAAAGGUCAGUCGUUCCAAAAUAAACGAUUAUUGAUUAGCCAAACCAGAAAUAAAUUUGGGGGAAAUGUG